CCAAAACUAAACAUAACAAAGAUUACACCAUUUAAACUAAAACAAGAAAGGGAGAGAUCACUAAAGCUUCUGAAACAUACAACCCGUGAACAGAAGUGUGAAGGACAGAGGUACAGAAGCUGGAAUUAACGAGAAAGCAUUAACAGUCGAUUUAUUGAGAUGCCAGAAGAGCUCCAAGAUAAGUUCCACAAAAGAAUACGAGCAACCAAUCCAUCACCCAAGAACAAGCUUCAUUUGAGGAAAGCCACAAGAUAACAGCUCUCCAUCCGAGCAGCUAACGAAGAACACGGUUGACAAUCAACUACUCAAGACCGAAUGCAAUUGAGCUAAGGUUCCACAAUCUCUUACCAAGAAAUCCCUACCACUUGUUCAUUCAGUUCUUUUUAUCGUUGUUUUUAUUUAUGCUACUAUCUUGCUUUUAUCUAUUUACAAGAGCAAAAGCAUAAACUACGUACCAAAAACAUUCCUAAUUAUUCCAAGUGCGGUAAAAAAAUCAAUUCCUCGAUAAAAAUAGCUACGUAUGAUAUGGAGGCGGAGGCAUAACAAGAUUUUAUUUGGGUCAUAAUUAAUUAAUUAUAGGUAAAAAAGACAUGCAUAAGAUUUGAAACUUACAGGGGCCAAAAAAAAAAUUUAACCAUCUCAUACAACAAUGAAACUAAGUCUGAAUUUUAUAAGGAAAAACUAUACCACAAACUUGAUAGAUUUAUCUUUAAAGGAUGAUUAUUUUUUAUAAAUACCUUAACUUUGUGAUGUAAACUGAUCCUCCCAAAUUCUUUAUAAAGUUUAAAAAUUAUUGAUAGAAAUUUAUAAACUCAAUCACACUCUUUAAAUACUAAACCCUGAAAAAUAGUCACUAAACUAUAAACUCAAAUGUUAAUAUAUUUUUGAAUCAAAGAUCAAAAGGUAAAAGAUGAACUGGAGACAUAGAAUUGUUUCUUCAUCUCUUUGUUCCUCCGUCGUCGCCGCAUUUUUUUGGCGGUUGCUGGAGCCCUUUCAUGUGUCAUUUUUUCUGACUCUUCUCAUUUUCUCUCUGUGCUCUCUCUCUCUGUUUUCAGCUCUUUUACUUUAUUUUGUGGAGUAAGUGUGUUCUUCCAAAACUCGCUGGUUCAGAUCUGACGGUCUCAGUUUAGAUCUGGACUGUGUUUGAUGUUAUCAGUGUUGCUAAUUUCGGUUCGCUGCUUGUUGUGUCCGGUGGUUUUUUCCUUGCUUCGGUGGAGUUAUCUUAGAGUUUGUGGUGUGUGAGGCAUCAAGUUGUCUCUCAUCGGGUUCUCUCUCCCAGUGUGCUGAGAAUUUUGAGAGUUGAUGACUGCUAAGACUCCUAUUGGAGUGAUGGUUAUGUCUUUAAUUUUUGGCUCCUUGUGGAGCGACGGUUUUGUCAAUUUUGUCGAUUAUUUUAAUCUUCCACAAUUGUUUCGACGGCAUAUUAUUUUUCCUUUCCAUUUAAUAAGUCAAUGGUUACUGUUACGCACAAACUGAUUUUUUGAGUAAGAUCUCCAAAAACUGAGUUCUUUUCAAGCCGUUAUUGUGGUUAAAAAAAAGAUAUAUGCAGUUUCAAAAGAUCGUAUCAUCUUUGAAGUCUCUUUAGUUCAUGCUCGAGAUGCUAUCUUGUACCUAACGCAUUACCCUCACUUGCAAAAUAAAGUGGAAGCGAUAAGGUAGCACUCAAUCAAUCCAAUAUUGGUUGUUCAAACAUACAUUGCUGAGGAAAAUCAAGUGGCCAUGAAAAUUGCAACUACUAGAGACCACAGAUCAUUGUCAUACUUAGAUGGUCCCUUAGCUGUAACAACUACUUGGUGAAAACGCUGAUCAAUACUUUGAGAUCUAGUACAAAAGGUUGUAUGUUGGUUGAUACUAUAUUAGUCCUUGGCGGUUUUGAGUUCUUUAUGUCAUAAACCGGUAAUUUUAUUUUAGUUUAUUUAUUCUUUUAGAAGCUUUUUUUUAAGAACUUUGCAUUUUUGUGGUUUGAAACUAAACAGUGUUGAAUUUUUUAAUUAAAUGUAUUUUUGAAAAAUAAUAUCCAAUAUGUGGUAUUUCAAACAAUUUUUUAUUUUUUAAUUUUCUUAUUUCAUAGAGAUCAACCGACCCCUUCACACCUAGGUGGCUCAAGUUUCAUCCAAUCCGACGGUCUCCAUUGAGUAAAAAAACUGCUUCUUCUUUAAAGAAUCCUCGCAAUCUAAACCGAGUUUAUUAACAAAUUAAAAAUCUGAAGUGAGCUUUUGAUAAGUUUUUUGGGAUUCCAACUUAAAAUCGCUCUGAUACCAUGAUAAGUUUUUUGGGCUUCCAACUUAAAACUUAUUGGUGAUAAGUGAAGUGGCCCAAAUUUUUUAUAUAUUACUCUAGUCUUUUACAUAUUUUUAAUAUGGGUCUUAUCUCUAACAGUUUUCAUGGUUGGGCUCGAGUUGGAUCAUAUAAUCAGGAGAGGCUAUCCACCAUGUUACGAGCGAC
rnacentral:lncRNA from 1 species